rnacentral:rRNA from 1 species
AACACAUGCAAGUCGAACGGGGCCGCAAGGGCACCGGCGAACGGGUGCGUAACACGUGAGGACAACUACCUCUGUGUGGGCAUAGCGCUAACGGCCGGGUAAUUCCGCAUACGAUCUUUCAGGGGCAUCUCUGAUUGAAGAAACGCUUCGGCGGCACGGAGAGGGGCUCGCGGCCUAUCAGCUAGUUGGUGAGGGUAAUGGCCCACCUAGGCGACGACGGGUAGCUGGUCUGAGAGGAUGGCCAGCCACAUUGGGACUGAGAAACGGCCCAGACUCCUACGGGAGGCAGCAGUGGGGAAUCUUGCGCAAUGGCCUAACGGCUGACGCAGCGACGCCGCGUGAGGGAUGAAGCUCUUCGGAGUGUAAACCACUGUCGGGACGAACGACUUUUGUCGACGUGACGGU